CGAGAAACAUAAAGUAAACAGGGUGUGUGAGGAUUACAGGUGUGUGAGAGUGAGGUGUGUGAAGUAGUCAGCAGGUGUGUGAGUAUUACUGGUAGUCAGGGUAAGGUAGUGAGCAGGUGUGUGAGGAUUACAGGUGUGUGAGAGUGAGGUGUGUGAAGUAGUGAGCAGGUGUGUGAGGAUUACAGGUGUGUGAGAGUGAGGUGUGUGAAGUAGUGAGCAGGUGUGUGAGGAUUACUGGUAGUCAUGGUGAGGUAGUGAGCAGGUGUGUUAGGAUUACAGGUGUGUGAGAGUGAGGUGUGUGAAGUAGUGAGCAGGUGUGUGAGGAUUACAGGUGUGUGAGAGUGAGGUGUGUGAAGUAGUGAGCAGGUGUGUGAGGAUUACUGGUAGUCAGGGUGAGGUAGUGAGCAGGUGUGUUAGGAUUACAGGUGUGUGAGAGUGAGGUAUGUGAGGUAGUGAGCAGGUGUGUUAGGAUUACAGGUGUGUGAGAGUGAGGUGUGUGAAGUAGUGAGCAGGUGUGUUAGGAUUACAGGUGUGUGAGAGUGAGGUAUGUGAGGUAGUGAGCAGGUGUGUGAGGAUUACAGGUGUGUGAGAGUGAGGUAUGUGAGGUAGUGAGCAGGUGUGUGAGGAUUACAGGUGUGUGAG